rnacentral:lncRNA from 1 species
GCAUCAGGAGUGACUGGAAGCGAUCCCAAUCCAGCCCAUCAUGGGUCAGUCCUCUUAUUACUCCUUAUCCUGAACCUUUCUAUCAUGUUGUCUGCCUCUAGAAGUGUUUAUACAUCUAUGAAUCAUUCAUCAUACAUCAUAUGGCACUCGCUCGAAAGCAUUACAACCGUAAUUCAAUGGCUAUUCUCUAAUCAUAUAAUCAAGUAACAUGUCAAAUUUCACUUGUGUCAAAUGAUUAAUGAUACUCCAUGAAAUUUCAUCUCCACAAAUGCCGUAUGUGCAUAUAAUUAGUAACAAAAUCUUGGUGCUCUAUACCAACACUGUUCAUGUACUUAUUUGCAUAGUAUGGUUGCAAUAACUUGGUCAAUAAGGUUUUUUGUCAAUAUGUGGGAAAAAAUCAUGCUAAUUUCACCCUUUUGUCAAUAAUUUCUCUGUACUAUUCAAAUUAGUUAGAAAAUAAACAAAUGUGUAUCCCAUGAUUAAUAUUUGUCUGGAUCCCUUUGCCAAUAGAGUCUCAAACUGAGGAUGGGAUGUGGUUAUGAGCUAUAAAAAAUUAGUCUCGCAUUCUCAAUAGAAAAAAGAAAAAGAAAAAGAAAAAGUAGAAAAAGGACAGUCUCGCAUCAUCUACUUAACCGAGAAUUAAUUUCGUUUCUUCUAGCGAGACUCAUUCCUUCAUUUAUCUCUAUUUUAAACAUGGUUGCAGACACCCUUGAUCAGACAACAUCUUGGUUGUUCUAGAUGUCCUCAAGGAAAGAACUUUGCAUCACUCGUGAUCGUGAUAUAUAUGUAAUAUGUCAUAAUACUUUCGGUAUGUUCUUGGUGUAGCAUAAUUAUUUCAAUUCCCUGUAUUCCGUACAUCAUCUUCCAGACAUUCUCAUGUGUAGACUUGCCUUGAUGAUGGUGAAAUAUUAAGAUAUAAG